rnacentral:rRNA from 1 species
UACGUAGGGGGCGAACGUUGUUCGGAAUCACUGGGCGUAAAGGGUGCGUAGGCGGCUCAUCAAGUCAGUUGUGAAAUUUCGUGGCUCAACCACGAAGCUGCUGCUGAUACUGUUGGGCUAGAGUCAUAGAUAGAGGUAGCGGGAAUUCCUGGUGUAGGAGUGAAAUCUGUAGAUAUCAGGAGGAACACCAAGGGUGAAGACAAGCUACUGGGUAAUGACUGACGCUGAGGCACGAAAGCUAGGGGAGCAAAUGGG